rnacentral:misc_RNA from 1 species
ACAAGACGCCACAGUAGGAGAAGUCUGGGAUGCUCAUGGUUGGAAUCUCAAAAAAUAAAAAAAAGAUCCAAAUCUUAAAGACAUGACAUUUCCAAUUAGAAAGAGAUAAAAGUGGACCGGUACUUUGUUUUGGUAAACACAAUUAUUGGAGGGCAUGCAAUCGGUCGGCUCCCAGUGCUUUGGUUUAGUGGUAAGAAUGCAGGGUGUGGUAUGUUAGUUAGGCACACAUUACAGGUUCAAACCUACAACAGAUAAAAGCUUGGCAUUUAAGUAGAAAAGGAUAUAGGACGGGGCUCAUUAUCAAGAGACUAUGAACCACG